GAUGAACGCUGGCGGCGUGCCUAAUACAUGCAAGUCGAGCGAACAGACGAGGAGCUUGCUCCUCUGACGUUAGCGGCGGACGGGUGAGUAACACGUGGAUAACCUACCUAUAAGACUGGGAUAACUUCGGGAAACCGGAGCUAAUACCGGAUAAUAUAUUGAACCGCAUGGUUCAAUAGUGAAAGACGGUUUUGCUGUCACUUAUAGAUGGAUCCGCGCCGCAUUAGCUAGUUGGUAAGGUAACGGCUUACCAAGGCAACGAUGCGUAGCCGACCUGAGAGGGUGAUCGGGCACACUGGAACUGAGACACGGUCCAGACUCCUACGGGAGGCAGCAGUAGGGAAGCUUCCGCAAUGGGCGAAAGCGUGACGGAGCAACGCCGCGUGAGUGAUGAAGGUCUUCGGAUCGUAGAACUCUGUUAUUAGGGUAGAACAAAUGUGUAAGUAACUAUGCACGUCUUGACGGUACCUGAACAGAAAGCCACGGCUAACUACGUG
rnacentral:rRNA from 1 species